AAAUUGAAGAGUUUGAUCAUGGCUCAGAUUGAACGCUGGCGGCAGGCCUAACACAUGCAAGUCGAACGGUAACAGAAAUCAGCUUGCUGAUUUGCUGACGAGUGGCGGACGGGUGAGUAAUGUCUGGGAAACUGCCUGAUGGAGGGGGAUAACUACUGGAAACGGUAGCUAAUACCGCAUAACGUCGCAAGACCAAAGAGGGGGACCUUCGGGCCUCUUGCCAUCGGAUGUGCCCAGAUGGGAUUAGCUAGUAGGUGGGGUAACGGCUCACCUAGGCGACGAUCCCUAGCUGGUCUGAGAGGAUGACCAGCCACACUGGAACUGAGAC
rnacentral:rRNA from 1 species